AGAGUUGAUCAUGGCUCAGAACGAACGCUGGCGGUCGCGUUUAAGCAUGCAAGUCGACAGGGUAAAAUUUAGCAAUAGAAUUGAGACUGGCGAACGGGUGAGUAACACGUGAAAUCUACCUGAGAUGGGGGAUAGCCGGUAGAAAUAUCGGGUAAUACUGCAUAUGCCGAGAGGUGAAAGGGGCAACUGCUCCGUCUUGAGAUGAGUUUGCGUCUGAUUAGAUAGUUGGCGAGGUAAAGGCUCACCAAGUCUACGAUCAGUAGCCGGCCUGAGAGGGUGACCGGCCACAUUGGGACUGAGACACGGCCCAGACUCCUACGGGAGGCAGCAGCUAAGAAUAUUCCGCGAAUGGGAGAAAUCCUGACGGAGCGACGCCGCGUGAACGAUUUGAAGGCAGAAAUGUUGUAAAGUUCUUUAUUAGGGAAGAAUAAGGCUGGUAGUGGAAAGAUCAGUCGAUGACGGUACCUAAUGAAUAAGCCACGGCUAACUACGUGCCAGCAGCCGC
rnacentral:rRNA from 1 species